UACGUAGGUGGCGAGCGUUGUCCGGAUUUACUGGGCGUAAAGAGCGCGCAGGCGGCUGGUCAAGUCCGAUGUGAAAGCUCCCGGCUUAACUGGGAAAUUGCAUCGGAAACUGAUCGGCUGGAAGGUGGGAGAGGGUAGCGGAAUUCCCGGUGUAGUGGUGAAAUGCGUAGAUAUCUGGAGGAACACCGGUGGCGAAGGCGGCAUCCUGGACCAAUACUGACGCUGAGGAGCGAAAGCCAGGGGAGCAAACGGG
rnacentral:rRNA from 1 species